rnacentral:rRNA from 1 species
CCWAUMAUGCAGUCGAGCGAACAGAUAAGGAGCUUGCUCCUUUGACGUUAGCGGCGGACSGGUGAGUAACACGUGGGUAACCUACCUAUAAGACUGGGAUAACUUCGGGAAACCGGAGCUAAUACCGGAUAACAUUUGGAACCGCAUGGUUCUAAAGUGAAAGAUGGUUUUGCUAUCACUUAUAGAUGGACCCGCGCCGUAUUAGCUAGUUGGUAAGGUAACGGCUUACCAAGGCRACGAUACGUAGCCGACCUGAGAGGGUGAUCGGCCACACUGGAACUGAGACACGGUCCAGACUCCUACGGGAGGCAGCAGUAGGGAAUCUUCCGCAAUGGGCGAAAGCCUGACGGAGCAACGCCGCGUGAGUGAUGAAGGGUUUCGGCUCGUAAAACUCUGUUAUUAGGGAAGAACAAACGUGUAAGUAACUGUGCAYGUCUUGACGGUACCUAAUCAGAAAGCCACGGCUAACUACGUGCCAGCAGCCGCGGUAAUACGUAGGUGGCAAGCGUUAUCCGGAAUUAUUGGGCGUAAAGCGCGCGUAGGCGGUUUCUUAAGUCUGAUGUGAAAGCCCACGGCUCAACCGUGGAGGGUCAUUGGAAACUGGGAAACUUGAGUGCAGAAGAGGAAAGUGGAAUUCCAUGUGUAGCGGUGAAAUGCGCAGAGAUAUGGAGGAACACCAGUGGCGAAGGCGACUUUCUGGUCUGUAACUGACGCUGAUGUGCGAAAGCGUGGGGAUCAAACAGGAUUAGAUACCCUGGUAGUCCACGCCGUAAACGAUGAGUGCUAAGUGUUAGGGGGUUUCCGCCCCUUAGUGCUGCAGCUAACGCAUUAAGCACUCCGCCUGGGGAGUACGACCGCAAGGUUGAAACUCAAAGGAAU